GGCUCCUCUCCGUCAGUGCGGUUUCGCCUUUAUGGUGGUGGAGUCUGCCCAGGCUGUGGACCGCAAAUAACCCUGUACAAAGAGGAAUGGAGAUUGCCUCUAUCCACCUAGAUUCAUAAGCUGGCCUGAGGUGAUCUUGGCAUCAAGGAAGGGAUGCACAUCAUCACACCAUCAGCUUCAGAGAAUGGCAGCCAUUUAUUUGUCCCGUGGGUUUUUUUCCAGGGAACCAAUCUGCCCUUUUGAAGAAAAGACAAAGGUAGAAAGGAUGGUGGAGGACUACCUGGCAAGUGGUUAUCAGGUAAGCAGAAAACGUACUGUUGUUAAAA
rnacentral:lncRNA from 1 species